UACGUACGAGGCAAGCGUUAUCCGGAAUUACUGGGCGUAAAGCGCGCGCAGGCGGCUAUCCAAGUCAGUGGUGAAAGCCCGGAGCUCAACUCCGGAACUGCCAUUGAAACUGUUUAGCUUGAGGAUGAGAGAGGUGAGUGGAAUUCCCAGUGUAGAGGUGAAAUUCGUAGAUAUUGGGAAGAACACCGGUGGCGAAGGCGGCUCACUGGCUCAUUACUGACGCUCAGGCGCGAUAGCGUGGGGAUCAAACAGG
rnacentral:rRNA from 1 species